rnacentral:rRNA from 1 species
AAUGAACGUUGGCGGCGUGGAUUAGGCAUGCAAGUCGAGCGAGAACCGUAGCAAUACGGGGACAGCGGCGAAAGGGACAGUAAUGUGCAGGUACCUACCCCCGGGUUCGGGAUAGCUGCGGGAAACUGCAGGUAAUACCGAAUAAUGUCUUCGGACCAAAGGUGUGAUUCCACCUGGGGAGGGGCCUGCAUCCUAUUAGCGUGUGGGUGGGGUAACGGCUUACCAAGGCGAUGAUGGGUAGCGGGUGUGAGAGCAUGACCCGCGUCAUUGGGACUGAGACACUGCCCAGACACCUACGGGUGGCUGCAGUCGAGGAUCUUCGGCAAUGGGCGCAAGCCUGACCGAGCGACGCCGCGUGCGGGAUGAAGGCCUUCGGGUUGUAAACCGCUGUCGUAGAGGAGGAAAUGCAGGAGGGUUCUCCCUUCUGUUUGACCUAUUCUAGGAGGAAGUACGGGCUAAGUUCGUGCCAGCAGCCGCAGUAA